UUCCUUCCCUCCCUGCUGGGCUCCUUGGAGACCCCCGAGUUGUUGGCCUGGGCCGUCCCCUUCUGCCCCGGCGGCGACCUCAACGCCCUCCGGUACUCCCUCUCCGACCGCAUCUUCUCCCCCGCCGCCAUCCGUUUCUACCUCUCCGAGAUCGUCUCCGCCCUCGCCCACCUCCACUCCCUCGGCAUCGUCUACCGCGACCUCAAGCCCGAGAACGUCCUCCUCCAGGCCUCCGGCCACG
rnacentral:lncRNA from 1 species